rnacentral:rRNA from 1 species
AUUGAACGCUGGCGGCAUGCCUUACACAUACAAGUCGAACGGCAGCAUGGAAGAGCUUGCUCUUCUGAUGGCGAGUGGCGAACGGGUGAGUAAAGCAUCGGAACGUACCGUGUAGUGGGGGAUAACGUAGCGAAAGUUACGCUAAUACCGCAUACGCACUGAGGUGGAAAGCAGGGGAUCGCAAGACCUUGCGCUAUACGAGCGGCCGAUGCCAGAUUAGCUAGUUGGUAGGGUAAAGGCCUACCAAGGGGACGAUCUGUAGCGGGUCUGAGAGGAUGAUCCGCCACACUGGGACUGAGACACGGCCCAGACUCCUACGGGAGGCAGCAGUGGGGAAUUUUGGACAAUGGGCGAAAGCCUGAUCCAGCCAUGCCGCGUGAGUGAAGAAGGCCUUCGGGUUGUAAAGCUCUUUCGGCUGGGAAGAAAUCGCACAGGCUAAUACUCUGUGUGGAUGACGGUACCAGCACAAGAAGCACCGGCUAACUACGUGCCAGCCGCCGCGGUAA